CUGUGACAUACUCGAUCUUUCAAUAUGUCAUUAACCCGCUAAACGGAGGUCGGUUGAGGACCACCUCCUAGAACUUUCUUUUAUGGCACUGGAUGCCAAUGCAUCAUGGAUAUCUAGCCAGGUCUGUCAUGGGACUCUCAUGCUUAGGACAGGGGUCAGUCAGAUAUUGUCUCAUCAGUUCUCUGCAUCUUGUGUAGAUAACUGGGCGUGCUUCAGAUCAUGGCAUGCAGCUAGAUUCAGCCCUAUGCAAUUGCAAGUAUGCAACCAUACAUCUCUUUCACUUGGGGUGAGGGGACCCUCCACGACACACAGGAUGGGAGGAAGAAGGUGACGCCUGACUAUCUAGCUACAAGACACUCUGGAGUCUGUUGGACUGAUGGCCUUGGCAUCCUAUGAAUGUCUCCUGGCUCCCUCUGUCCAAAAGGCCUAGCAGUGGUCAAAAAGCCUUAAAAGGAACAGUUGCUUGCACAUCAAGGAACUUUGCAUGCAGGAGCAAUAAUGUGGCGUCCUCAAUCUGUGAUUACUGGACCUUGUUGGUUUAUUUUCAUCUUUGUUUCAUUAUUGCUGUAUCUUUCUGGAUUUCUGAGGGAAUGGAAGCCUAACAUGUAGGGCCCAGAAAGCAACUGCAGCAUACUCUUGUGUCAUAUGGAUAUACGUUUCACCGUUUUCUGAAAUAGAAAAAGCAAUGACAGAGGGUUGCAGCUGUUUGUGCCAUUUGGAGCCCUGCUGGCAUUUUGGCAGUAGAUGGAUGGAUUCAACAUAUGCAUCAAGUGUACAAAUUUCCUAUAUAUGUUAUGUUAGUUGAA